AAUUAAACAAAAAAAAAAGGAAAGGAAAGGGAAAGGGGAAAAGAAAGAACCAGACAUUGAUAGCGGACUCUCUCUCCGCCGGAGACUGUAAAACCGAAAUCGGCAGCAAUGACGGAGGAGAGUGGCGCUAGGGUUUCCUCCGACGUGCCCAGCGAUGAUUCACAAACAAGGCAAAGGAAGAAAAGAAAGUGGGAUCAACCUGCAGCAUCCUUGGUUUCAGCCGGUUUAGCAGUGCCUGGGGCUCUCCCAAUGGUAAAUGUGGGAUUUCUUGGUGGGAUUACAAUUCCUGGCACAACUCUGGUUACUGGUGCUGUUUCAAUGAAUCCAUUUGUGGCCAGCUAUGCUACCAUACCUCAGCCGUAUCAGGUUCCUCUGAUCCCGCCACAGACUGCCACGGUCAUUCAGAAAUUAAUUCAAAUCCAAAAAUGCACGGGAGCUGUGGUGAUAACAAGGGGAAAGUAUCAUCCACCAAAUUCAUCAACUGAUGGUGAAAAGCCACUAUAUCUUCAUAUAUCUUCAGGGGCUCAUUUAAAAGAGACAGCAGAACGUAUUUUAGCAGUUGACCGUGCAGCUGCCAUGGUUGAAGAAAUGUUGAAACAGGGUCAGAAUCCAACUAUGAGCAAUGGAGUGAUGGCACAAGGUACUUGUGUAUAUUUGGGCUUUGACGCAGAUCCAUCAUUGAACAUUGCAGCUCGUAUACGUGGUCCAAAUGACCAGUAUAUAAAUCACAUUAUGAAUGAAACAGGAGCAACUGUCUCACUCAGAGGGCGUGGUUCCGGAAAUAUUGAGAAUAUACAUGACGAAGAAGGACAGCUACCGUUGCAUUUAUUCUUGUCAAGUAAUAAUUCAAAAAGUCUUGAAGAUGCUAAGCUUUUGGCUGAAAAUCUUUUAGAUACAAUCAGUGUAGAGUGUGGUGUCUCCAGGGUUUCAUCAUCUAAGGUUUAUAGUGCUGUUGCACCCCCACAGCAGGUAUAUAGUGCUGUUCCACCACCGCAUCAGUUGGCCGGGGUUCAGAGUUCUGGAAUUGAGGUAAAAGCAAUUACAAGUUCGGUGUCUCCAACUGUGGGUGCUACACCAGCUUUGCCAGUUUCCUCUGCUGGAACCCCUGGUGUCGCUACUGUCUUUUCUCAAGGGACAGUCUCUCAACCUGGAGGAUUGUUGAACUGUGCACAAUCUCAGGCGAACAUUGGUGGUUAUCCCCAACCUCUAUUAUCUAGUGGAACAAGCUACAAUGGAUACGCAGGGAUAUAUCCUCAAGUCACACCUUUGCAACAGGUUGCUCUGGCCCUUAGACAGCCAUCUUCCCCUAUCACUUCUACAGUUGCUCCCACAACAUCAGCCCCAAGCACUGAACCAAAGGUGAAUGUUACCUCUGGUUCUGAGAAGGAGAAACACCCUCCACAAAGGCGGAAGUUUCAGGAGUUACCAGUUGGUCCUGCAAAAGUCCAUCAGGUAUUUUCUCUGACUUUCUAUGAGGCCGAUACUGAACCUCUCUAUUGGGCCACUGGUCUGUAUUUUUCACAGGGUUUUCAUUUCGGUGGUACCAUUGGGGUUCACUUGUGGUUGGAGCUUUAUUCUGCGGACAACUUAGACUUGCUGUUUAGUUUAAUGUCAUAUACUUAGGUCAAGUUACAAGAAUAUAUUUUGUUUUCUAUUUGUCAUAAGUCAAUCCAGUGUUGGAUUUCUUCAUUUCGUGACGAGCAUCCUAGUGUUUCCUUCUUGUGCUGUCACCAGCAGCAUGCACAGCCAAACUCCUAGAGAAGAGGUACCCCAUCACAACCAUUGCCAGCUUCACUUGGAUUUCAUGAGAACUCCAUGGUUUCGAUGAUUCAAGAGUUUGAAAUGCAAAUUCUGAGCUACUGCUACUUCCAGUUGCAUUGGAAUAAAAGUGGCAUUGGUGUUGAUGGUUGAAAAUUGGCUGUGGAUGCUGGUGGGUGCCACUCAUGGAAUGCUUUUUUUUUAAAGCAAAAGGUACUUGUACAGAUCAAAUUCCAUGGAACCAUUAUUGAUCUGUACUUGCUCAUGGAAUCUGUGGAGCAAGUAUAGCUCUAUACUUGCUCAUGAACAUGAUAUUUACAACCACCUUUUUUAUCCUUUUCCUUCGGUACUCUUCCUAGACGGAGUUCACAACUAACCUUCAAUUUCUCCUUUAUGAACUUAGCCAUUUAGAAAUGUUAAUAUUACUGUGCCUUUGAAACUUGAUACGCAUGUGGUUAAGCUAUAGAACAGUUUGUAAACUUGUUCGAUGAUAUGAAAUCAUUUUUUGGAUUAAUUUUCUUAGUUGCAACUAUUAAUCUUUAGAUUAUUGCUCUUUUUUUUUUUUUUUACAUAAACAUUCACAGUUUUCUGGUUAUUGAGCUGUUAGUUUUUGUUUUUGGUUUCUUUUCUCCCUAACUGACUGCAGGAUUUGGGUGUGAGAAAUGUAUCCACGAUGCCAGCUCCAAAGAAACUGGUCCAGCAGGCAUCAAAUGGAAUGCCACCUCCCCCACCUAGAGCCAUGCCUCCAGCUCCACCUCCACCAAAAUUUACCUCAUCAACACAGGCUGUUAAAGUGCUUGACAAGAACAUUGCUCUGAAGAAAACAAAACCUGAUAAUGUUCCUGAUACUCUGGUCAAGCUAAUGGAAUAUGGUGAUGAUGAAGAUGAUGACGAUGAGGAAACUAAUGAAGAA